UACGAAGGGGGCGAGCGUUGUUCGGAAUCACUGGGCGUAAAGGGCGCGUAGGCGGCCCUCUUUGUCGCGUGUGAAAGCCCCGGGCUCAACCUGGGAACGGCGCGCGAAACGGGGGGGCUGGAGUUCGGGAGAGGAGAGUGGAAUUCCCAGUGUAGAGGUGAAAUUCGUAGAUAUCUGGAGGAACACCGGUGGCGAAGGCGGCAUCCUGGACCGAGAUUGACGCUGAACAGCGAAAGCUAGGGGAGCAAACGGG
rnacentral:rRNA from 1 species